rnacentral:lncRNA from 1 species
CACGAAACAUAUAUUUACAAACAGUCAUCUAAAUGUACAUAUAGCAAUCGAAAUGAAAAAUUUAAGAUACAAAAAUAGCAAAUUGCGACACGAAUUCCAUUCACAAAGCACAUGAAUUCACACCCUGUUGUUUAUUGAUUUCGUGUGGAUCAGGUUUUUAAGUUUUAUAAGUGUUUGGAGGACUGCUCAUCCUUUUGUCGCUUGUAAGUUAUCCUUCGAGUUAUUGUCUGAAUAUUUAUCUCGGAUUUUCUAAACUACAUCGAUACAAAUUAACCAUGUAAAAUUCUGAUUGUUUUAUAAAAUUCUCUUAUAACUAAAAUGACAACUUUGUAUCACUGUUCAAAACAUGAAUUGAAUCAUACUUUUUAUUUCAACGGUUCAAAUACAUUGUUUUCAAUUUAUUACCAC